ensembl:lncRNA
CUUUGAGGUUUCAAAAUCCCAAGCCAGGCCCCAUGCUGCUCUCUUCCUGUUGCCUGAGGAUUUGGUGCGGAACUCUCUGCUACCUCUACAGCACCGUGUCUCCUGCAUGCUGAUGCGUCAUGCCAUGAAGAUAAUGGACUAAACCUCUGAAACUGAAUGUGGCAUUUGGAUUGUGUCUGAGGACAGUGAUGGCCCCAGUGGUGCAUGAAUGAAGCCGGCCAGGCCUCAUAACUUCAAAUUUCUCCAGUCAUUGCCACAAGGUCAAGGUGGCACACUGCUGAUGACACCAAGGCCUUGAAAAGACUUGUGCCACCAGGCAACUUCCCUGUCCUGGAAUUGCAGAUACCUAGGAUGAGUCAAACUGAAGGUACUGGUGGUGGUUCUACAACACACACACACACACACACACACACACACACACACACACACACACACACACAGAGAGAGAGAGAGAGAGAGAGAGAGAGAGAGAGAGAGGAGAGGAGAGACAGAGAGAGAGAGAGGAGAGACACAGAGAGAGGAGAGACAGAGAGAGAGGAGAGAGACAGAGGAGAGAGACAGAGGAGAGAGAAAGGAGAGAGAGAGGAGAGACAGAGAGAGAGGAGAGAGAGGAGAUAGAGAGAGAGAGGAGAGAAAGGAAAGAGAGAGAGAGAGAGAGAGAGAGAGAGAGAGAGAGAGAGAGAGAGAGCCUGCUUGAGAGUGUUCUCUUAGAACACUGGAUCCAAAAAUGGAGAGAUGCAUACUCUUGACCAUGUAAGUUAAUGCCUAAAUCAAACCAUGCCUAAAGUUCUCUCCACCUCUGCUCAGGAAAGCCUUCAGCUGCAUUCUGCAGGGCAGUAGAGAAAGAGCAAGAGGAGGCUUGUGUGUCUGUGCAGGAGGAAGAUGAAAGAGCAAGACAUUCCAAACCAGCACUAUGCUGCCCUGAGGGAUUUACAGAUUGAAACCUUCCUUCCCAAUAUGUUGAUCUGAGGUGAAUUUUUGGAAGGUGGGGAAGUUGUGAGGAUGGAGCCCUCUAGAAUGUGAUUAGUGGGAACACGAGAGCUGGCCUGUCUCCAUGGUGUGAUGAUAAAACAAGAAGGCAGAUUUGGAGAACCAGACCUAAAGUCUCCAGGCACCUUGAAUUUGAACUUUCAAGCCUCCAGAAUCUAAGAACAAACUAUUAACCUAAGAUAUAACAUGGCUUAGAAAAGUUAACACAGGGAGGAAAAAGGUAUACCCAAGAUUUUGAGUUUGCAUCAGAACAGACAUAGUUAUAUGAAAACAACAUAGUGGUUGGUGAAAGCAACCUUGGCACUUCCAGAGAGAGUGCCUUCCCAGUACUGGCUAUUCAUCUGUGACAUUGGUGCAAUUUUUAUUGCUUUUAUAGAAUUUUCAUAUAAUAAAGUCAGAAAAAAGUCCUUUGUUCAGAAUAAUUUUCUUUGAAAAUGCUCAUUUUAAAUAUAGUAAUAAUUCCAGAAUGAAUGUGGAAAUUGGAUGUUUUCCAAGUAAAAUAUCACCAUGUAACAGUUUUUCAUGGUCAUUCAAAAGCCACAGGGUGGGAAGAUGGGAGCCCUGAGCACAGCAGGUGCAAGAUCCACGUGGAGACCCACUCCCCAGUCCCCUGGGGUUUGGACACACCGACCUGACCUAGUGAUCCCAGCCAGCUGGGCCUUUUCCCAUACAACUGGGAAUAGGCUGGAAUCUCAUCCAACCAUUCUCAGGGGCAAAGCAGCUCACACACACUUGCAGAUCACACAAAGUGUUUGUGUUGGGUGACCUCCUUUCUGGAACCAUGUACUUUAAGAAGAGUUCUUAGGAUGAAUAUGCACCAAAUAUGCACCUAUUGGAGAGUUUUGUUUUGUUUUGUUUUGUUUUGUUUUGUUUUUUGCUAUGUUUCAAAUGGCUACAUUUUCUAUGACGCACAUUCUGUGUUAAUUGCAAAAGCUAUUACAUAAAAAAAUCUUAUGAAGAUAUAAAGAUUGCAUAACCAUUUAUUUAUGGUUUUCAAAUCAUCUACUUCUAUUGAAAAGAAUAAAAAUUAUAUGAAAUUGAAAGUCAUUUGGGAAAAUGCUAUGUUUAUAGUACACAGAGGCAAUUAAAAAU